UUAUUGGAGAGUUUGAUCCUGGCUCAGGACGAACGCUGGCGGCGUGCCUAAUACAUGCAAGUCGAGCGGACCACAAAGAAGCUUGCUUCUGAGU
rnacentral:rRNA from 1 species